AAUUGAACUUGUGAAUGCAGAAGCUGCUAACAAAGAGGGGGUGGUGAUGUUUUGUCUCCGCUGGGAUUUGAACAAGGGAGUAAAAAUUAAUGAAGUAAUGUUUUGCCUAGAUAGGUAACGUAACCAUGGCCAUUCAAUUACUAGGGUUGCGCCUCUCUUGUAUCGCCUACAUUCAUGUCAUGGGGUCUAGUAAUUCUAACAAUCAAAGCAGAAACAACAGAAGUUGCAGAUCAAGGUGUUAAUGCAACCAUGAUCCUUCCAUUUUUAAAGUAG
rnacentral:misc_RNA from 1 species